rnacentral:rRNA from 1 species
GAUGAACGCUGGCGGCGUGCCUAAUACAUGCAAGUCGAGCGAACGGACGCGAAGCUUUCUUCUCUGAUGUUAGCGGCGGACGGGGGAGUAACACCUGGAUAACCUACCUAUAAGACUUGGUUAACAUCGGGAAACCGGAGCUAAUACCGCAUGAUAUUCUGAAUCGCUUGGUUCAUGAGUCAAAGACGGUCUUGCUGUCGCUUAUAGAUGGAUCCGCGGUGGAUUAGCUAGUUGGUAAGGUAACGGCUUACCAAGGCAACGAUGCAUAGCCGACCUGAGAGGGGGGUGGGCCACACUGGUGCUGCUACGCGGCACAGCCUCCUCCGGGAGGAAGCAGUAGGGAAUCUUCCGCAAUGGGCGAAAGACUGACGGAGCAACGCCGCGUGAGUGAUGAUGGUCUUCUGAGCGUAAAGAUCUGCUAUCGGGGGUGAAGAUAUGUGGAAGUGACUGUGCACAUCUUGACGGUACCUAAACAGAAAGCCACGGCUAACUACGUG